rnacentral:lncRNA from 1 species
AGAAAUUCUAAUUUUAAUUAAUUUAAAUAUUUUGAGCUAAUUAUUUGCAUUAUUAUUUUCAGGGAAAAAUUUGGAAAUUCAAUUUGGGACAUUUGGAGUGCUAUCAAAUAAGUCAAGACUCUUCACAUGGACAUUUCAAAUUUAAUUACUUUGAAACUUAGUAGCCUAGAUAGUUUCAGUUAAACUUGUAAACAUUGGGCCAAUAUUUGGCAAAAUAGUUUNGGCCCAAAAUGUUAGAAUAGAUGACACUUGACACCUAGGGUUUUGGGUGGACCCCACCCCAUUUUUUUUGGAGACACUUAUCCCUAGGGAAAGAAGUUGUCNAGCCGUCAUUCUGAAGUGGAGGAGAUUCUCGGCGGUAGAGAACAAUAUAUCACUUGGAGGAUUUUGAAAAAAAAAAGAGCUCACGGGAUGGAGGGUUACGGCUAGAUGAUUCUGCACCUUACAUUGGAAUUUCGUUUAUUUCCUUUUCAUUCCAGUAAAGUGUCACGUGAAAUANAAGCUCAUUUUCUUUUCUUUUUUUUAUUUUAGCACAUUCAGUCUUCUUUAGAAAGUAAGGAAUAGUGAUUCAUGAUAGGAGACGUGUUUAAUGUUUGNAGUGNNGCACACUGUUUCUAAUUUCCCACUUUUAGAUAAAGCUCAGUCACGUUUAUUAGCACNUUNUAUUGAUUUUUUUUAUUUCCAACAUAUUCUNUUUCAAAUAGAAAAACGUUGAUUUCAUGUGGUGGAUAAAAGGGAGAAGCGCUGCUGNAGACGUUGGAGGAAGUAACGUUUUCUUUUUCCUUCUUUUUGGUUUUAUUGAAUGAAAAGAAAAAAUGGAGAAGAGAUGGGAUGUGUUGGUUCUUUGUUUUUUUU